rnacentral:tRNA from 1 species
GUAAGCGCACUGGAAAGUGUGCUUGGACUAACAAAAAGUAGCUUAAAAUAAAGCAUUCAGCUUACAAUUG